rnacentral:rRNA from 1 species
CGUGCUUAAUACAUGCAAGUCAACUUGACUUUAGAUAGCAAUAUCGAAAAGUAGGGUGGCGCACGGGUGCGUAACGCGUAGGUAAUCUGCCCUGAGGUCUGACAUAACCCGUCGAAAGGCGGGCUAACAUCAGAUGAUAUAUAAUCACGACAUCGUGGAAAUAUCAAAUCUUCGGAGCCUUGGGAUGAGCCUGCGUCUGAUUAGGUAGUUGGCGGAGUAAUAGCCCACCAAGCCUACGAUCAGUAGCUGGUCUGAGAGGAUGAUCAGCCACACUGGAACUGAGACACGGUCCAGACUCCUACGGGAGGCAGCAGUAAGGAAUAUUGCUCAAUGGGGGAAACCCUGAAGCAGCAACGCCGCGUGAAGGAUGAAAUACUUUGUAUGUAAACUUCUGUAAGAUGGGAAAAUAUUCUCCUCGGGAGAAUUGAUUGUACCAUCAGAGUAAGCCCCGGCUAACUACGUG